CAAUGUUCUCCAUUUCUAACAACCUAAAAUUAGAAUUCAGAAAAGUUUAGGUUUGGUGGAUUGAUCCUUUUCUUCCAUUGUUUCAUCACCUUUGAACUUUUAACCUUAACUAGUGUUUUUCAAGAUGAUGAAAAUGUAAAAAUAGGUUUGAGACAUGCUAGGAGAAGCAAACUCUAAAUAUGUAGUAGGAUUUCUCAGAGUAUUUGAGGUAUAUUGCCACUCUACAUGGCACUGGGUAGUGUUCAUUGUUUUCAUAUUUGAUCAAUGGAAAAAAAUUUUCACAGGGUAACAAGAAGGGCUACUAUUUUGUGAUACCCAAAUUAGGGUAAUGUUGUAAUUAACAUGGAUCUACUUUGAAGGGGAAAAAAAACCACUAUAUAAACAUGUAAUUAGGUGGAAGCCCUUCAGUGUCUUUAAGUAGAAACAGUUUGAUGAUUAAUUAGGAAUAAUGAUUGUAUAGGGUCUGUAAUGAGAGACAGAGUGUCACAUACCAUAUAAUACUAUGGUCUAAAAACUGCAUUACUUUCUAGCAUGUCUCAUAUUAAAGCUCACAACAGUCAUGAUAUAUAUAGCCCCUUGGUGAUAAAUAAUUGAGGCAUACGUAGUUCUUGUCUAGAAGCCCAGAGGAUUUAUACACAUAUUUGUAAUACAUUGAUAUAACUGUUAAAGGAAACAAUUUUAAUGUUAUUGCCUUCUAAUUCUAUGUUACUGCACAUAUUUCUAAGCUUUGUAU
rnacentral:lncRNA from 1 species